rnacentral:sRNA from 25 species
GUCAGUAACCCAGCCCUAAAGGGACUGGGCUUGCAAGAGUAAUCAAGCAAGCCGUACUGACCAGACCACCCUGAGUUUACUCUCAUGGUAGCCGUUAUUUGAGUCACGACACCCCGGAAUGCGUUGCUAGUUCCCUGCUCUGUC